rnacentral:rRNA from 1 species
AGAGGUGGCGAGCGUUGUUCGGGAAUUAUUGGGCGUAAAGAGCACGUAGGUGGGUUUGCAAGUCAGAUGUGAAAGCCUUCUGUUCAACGGAAGAAUUGCAUCUGAAACUGCUAAUCUUGAGUAUAGGAGGGGAGAAUGGAACUUCUGGUGGAGCGGUGAAAUGCGUAGAUAUCAGGAGGAACGCCGGCGGCGAAAGCGGUUCUCUGGCCUAUUACUGACACUCAGUGUGCGAAAGCUAGGGGAGCAAACGGGAUUAGAUACCCCGGUAGUCCUAGCUGUAAACGAUGGGCACUAAGUAGAGGGAAUUACCGAUGUUCUCUCUGCCGUAGCUAACGCAUUAAGUGCCCCGCCUGGGGAGUACGGCCGCAAGGCUA